rnacentral:tRNA from 1 species
GUAUAGCUCAGCUGGAUAGAGCGAUCGCCUCCUAAGCGAUAGGCCGGGGGUUCGAAUCCCUUUAC